rnacentral:pre_miRNA from 1 species
CUAGCUUUGCCCAAGUCAAACUUCUCUUCUUUUGAUCAAGUCUUACAAAUGAGCUAAUAUGUACAACAUCAAUUAACAAAAACAUAUUUUAUAAUGAAUCUAAUAAAACUAAUUUAGUGUUGUAGAUGUUGUCACAUUUUUCUGUGGACUUGGUCAAACUUAAGGAAGUUUGACUUAGGACAAAGUUAGA